rnacentral:rRNA from 1 species
ACGGCGAGUGAAGCGGCAAAGCUCAAAUUUGAAAUCUGGCACCUUCGGUGUCCGAGUUGUAAUUUGAAGAAGGUAACUUUGGAGUUGGCUCUUGUCUAUGUUCCUUGGAACAGGACGUCACAGAGGGUGAGAAUCCCGUGCGAUGAGAUGCCCAAUUCUAUGUAAAGUGCUUUCGAAGAGUCGAGUUGUUUGGGAAUGCAGCUCUAAGUGGGUGGUAAAUUCCAUCUAAAGCUAAAUAUUGGCGAGAGACCGAUAGCGAACAAGUACAGUGAUGGAAAGAUGAAAAGAACUUUGAAAAGAGAGUGAAAAAGUACGUGAAAUUGUUGAAAGGGAAGGGCUUGAGAUCAGACUUGGUAUUUUGCGAUCCUUUCCUUCUUGGUUGGGUUCCUCGCAGCUUACUGGGCCAGCAUCGGUUUGGAUGGUAGGAUAAUGACUAAGGAAUGUGGCUCUACUUCGGUGGAGUGUUAUAGCCUUGGUUGAUACUGCCUGUCUAGACCGAGGACUGCGUCUUUUGACUAGGAUGUUGGCAUAAUGAUCUUAAGCCACCCGUCUUGAACCA